rnacentral:lncRNA from 1 species
UUUGACAUUUACUUAUUUAUUUAUUUAAUCGUUUAUCUUUUUAGGGCCAUACCCACAGCAUAUAGAGGUUCCCAGGCUAGGGUGGGUGCAGCCCUAAAAAGCAAAAUAAAUAAAUAAAUAAAUAAAUAAAUAAAUAAAUAAAAUUAAACAGAAAAUAAACAGCAUUCAGUAGACCUAAUAUGGAAGCACCUUUCUCAGGCCAAGAAAGUUUACAGAUCCCACAGUUGUUUAUCCCAAGGGAAAAAAAUAACCAGGCAGGAAAAAAAAAAAAAUCUUUUGCGAAGAUGAGCACAGCAGUGUCCCUCCCAGUAGGGGAGAGCUGGCUCUAGGCCAGGGCCCAACAGGGACCCCUGCCCACGGAGACAAAGCAGUACCAGGCAAUGGGCCCAUGACCAUUAGCCACAACCAUUAGUCAUGGGGGCUGUGCCAACACACACAAAACCUGUAAGGAAAGUUCUGUCAAGUGAAAAACAAUCCUAAUAACCUGCUAAUCCCAGCUGGGAAAGAGAAUGUGGGCUGUCAGAAGAGGCUCUGUGAGAGGGUGACCCAAUAUAGGAUGUUCAGUGGGUGUGGCUGAUCGCCCUGCUUUAGGAGUCAAAGCACUGAGAAAGCCCGGUUUCCCAAAAGCUGUCAUCUAGUCUGACACACAUCUACCCCCUACCGAGCAGCCUGUGUUCCAAUGGAAAUGAACAUGCCCAUAAAAAUAUUUCCUUCCUCUUUCUUGCCUCAUACCUGCUCCCACGGGAAAAAGAAAUAUCUCUGUGUGUGAGUGGAUACAUAUAUAUAAUUUCGUGCAUAUAUAUAUGAAUUUCAUGUUGUGUGCACAUAUAUACAUACAUAUAUAUGUACAUAUACAUACAUGUACAUGUGCACAUGCAUAUAUACACAUAUGCAUAUAUACAUACACUUUUUGUCAUUCAUGUUUGACAAAAGGUCUUAUCAGCUGUACCAACCACACGGCAUUAGAAUUUUUGGUGGGGGGGAGUAAAUCCCAGACUUUGCUGCUAAGUUUGCUGUCCACUGGGGGAGGGAAGAAGGAUAUCCAAGAUCUCCCAGACCCCCUCCCCCUCACUUAAUUAAUUUAAUUAGUUGUUUUUCAGCCAUGGGGUGCAGUGGCUUCAUGUGGGAUCUCAGUUCCCAAACCAGGGAUUGAACCUGGGCUGCAGUGGCGAAAGCAUCAAGUCCUAAACCCUAGACCACCAGGGAACUUCCCCUGCCUUUUAUGAUACUUGCAUUUGGGAGGCUUGUGAGUAGGGCAUCUCAGUUUUUUGGUUUUUGGUUUCUGCGGAUUUUUUUUAACUUAAGGACAUAAACAGGAGAAAUUCUCACGGGAAAGUCUGGGUGGUACCACCUUUAAAGAGAGCCCUUCUCUACUGGAUGCUGGCGAGCAGAAACAAGCCACUUCAUGGUUCUGACAGCUGAGCCAGGUGCCCUCCAUGUGACUGUGCAGAGGUGGGAACUGGCUGCAGCCCAGAAGCUGAAUUCCUGGUGCUGC